GGGCUGGGGUUAGGGGUGGAGCAUUGCAUCUCCAAAUUCACAUCAUUUCCCGACCUGGAGCACCAGGGAAGGAGGGAGGGAGGAGGAGUUGCAGUACCUGGGGAACAGCCCAAGCAAAUGGUUGGAGGAUUGCAUGCAGGAGAAACUGGCGGCUGCGGAGAGAUGAGAAAACUUAAGUCCAAGAAAGGGGAAAUGUUUGUCUAGAGACACACAGCAUGUUGGCAUACUGCUCUUGCAAAAUGUCACUUACUGGUCUGCAGAUCUACCAACAAUCUCACUUUCCAGAUGAGGAACUGAAGCAAACAGGAAUAAGUGACUUGCCCAAGGUAAGUGUUUGAGAUCAGAUAUGAACUAAGGAGGAGUUCCUGAUUUCAACCCAGGCACUCCAGCCACUGUACCAGGUAGCUACCUGGCUUUGUGCAUAGCCGAUAAUGAAUAAAUGUUUGUCUAGAGAAGCACUGUCCAUUUGGUAGUUUCAGAUGUACCGUUUUCCCCCACUCAAAGAAGCCUGUUUGCUUACUGCCAGUGAGACUACUUGCAGAAAAUAGCAGUAAAAUGUAUUUUGUUAUAUUUCUACUCUUUUUGUGCAAAUUGCUGAAGUGAUCCUUCUUCCAACCAAGGCUAACUCCUCUGCAUGUAGCUUCAUCCCACACCCCACUGUCUUCCCCAACAGAUUGCCUCCUCAACACUCCCACCCCCAAUCUAUUAGCUACUUGUUCCUUCUUUUCUUCCUACAAAUACACCCAAGUUUCACCCAGCCUUAAAAAACGCUCACUAGAUCCUUUAUAUCUGCCAGCUAUCAUCUUUCAUUCAUCUCUUUCUCCACCAAAUUCCUUGAAAAAGCUUAUACUCUUGAUAUGGCCACCUUCUCUCUUUUACUUCUCUUAACUCUGCCAUCAGACUUCAUCGUUCAACUGAAAUUGCUUUUCCAGUCAUCGAUGAUCUCUUAGUUGCCCAGGCUAACUGCCUUUUCUCCAUCAUUCUUGACUUUUCAGCAGCAUGACUCUGUUGAUCAUCUCUCUCUUUCUGGAUUAUGCUUUCAUCUCUUUUGGGGGUGGGGGUGAUACUUCUCUCUCCUGGUUCUCUGCUUUACAAAUAUUAUUUCCUUUGACCCUGGGCAAUAGGAGAUGUUAUUAUCCCCAUUUGCAGUUAACUAAGGUAGACAGAGGUUAAGUAACUUACCCAGGAUCACACAGCUAUUAAGCAUAUAAGUAGGGAUUCUAAUUCAGUUCUUCCCGAUUCCAGGGCCAACAGUUCAUCCACUGGACCAACUAGCUGUCUCAGUUUACAGAUCCUGGCCCCCAUUAAUGCCAGAAAAAUAUGACUGCGAGAAUAUCAACAUCUAACCAACCUAUAUGGUUAUACUUUCAUCUAUACACAAUCUUUAUGAGAACUAUUUAUACCCAAAAUGAAAGCAUCCUCAUUCUCAAUAUGGCGUUUAUAUGAAGGCUUUCAGAGGUGAUAUUCAACAAUGAACCAUAUUUUUGCCAUCUCAAAAUUAACUGAAAGAUGUAGAGACUAUAACAUCCCAUAGUGCUUAUUGCUGGUUGAUGAUGAGCCUGCCUCACAGAGACUUAGAUCCUCUCAUCUAUGCAUCAAGUCAAGAAGACCUGAGUUCAGAUCCAACCUCAGGCAUCUACUAGUUGUAUUACCCUAGGCAAGUCUAACUUCUGUUUACUUUAAUCCAUUGGCAAACCACUCUAGUAUCUUUGUCAAGAAAACCUCAUGAGCAACAUGGCUCAUGAAGAAUUGGAGAUGACUGAACAACAGCUCAGUAUCAAGAUCCUUCAGAAUUUCUUGGAAGAUAUCAAAACAUUUGGUCUCAAAAUGCAUUUAUUAAGUCCUUACUAGAAAUAACCCUACUCAGGAACCCUUGGAUAAUAAACUUUAGAUGAGACAUGUUUGUUUACCAAAGGUGUCUGCUACUGUGAUGGAGAAAAUCCAGAGUAGAGUCCAGGUUGAAGAGAGAUUCUCUGUGGAUGGUGCUGUCCUCAUGAUGCAACUGUUUGUUGAUGAUCAAGCCUCAAAGCACUGCAAAAAUCUCCUGGAAGAUCUGUAGCCAUUCAAAAGAGUUUGUCCUGUCCAUUCACACAGAGAAGUCAAUUGGAUGCCUACAAACAUGCCCAUGACUCCUCCAUCCUUGGUUCUCUUGAUCCAAUCAUCCCCUCCAGCUUUUAUCCUUCAUCUCUUCUCCCCUUUGUGGCUAAAGCCAUCUACACUUAGUGCAUCCACUUCUCUCCUUUCACUUAUAAACCCUCUGAGAUUUGUCUUCAGCCUCAUCAUUCAAAUGAAAUUACUCCCUUCAGCAUUAUCAAUUGCUAUAUCUUUUCUCAGUCCUCAUCCUUCUUGACCUCUCUGAAGCCUUUAAUACUGUUGAUCACUCCUCUAGGUUUUUGUGAUACUGCUCUCUUGGUUUUCCUCCUUCUUGCCUUACUAUUCCUUGUUCUCUUUUGCUGAAUCCAUAUCCACGUUUUAUCUAUUAAUCAAGAGUGUCUCUGAAGGCUCUCUCUUGGACCUUUUAACAUUUUUCCUCCUAUAUUAUUAUAUUAUAUUAAUUAUAUUAUUAUGCUAUGUUAUAUUAUAUAUUGUUAUGUUAUUAUAUUAUAUUAUAUGUCAUGUCAUGCCACAUUGUGU